rnacentral:snRNA from 1 species
GGAUGUGAAAAUGAUCUGGCUGCCACAUCUGUCGCCCCAGUGAUCACCAGGGUUGAUUUGGGUGGUCUGGCUGGCUAGGCCGGUGUCCUCACUGCUCCAUGCCUGUUUCUCCUGAAGCUACGCUCUCCUUCCCCAAACAGAGGAGGACCAGUCUUUGGUCAAGGGUAUUCGAGUAGCUGGCCUCCCCAUUGGAACUUCCAAACAAGCUCUGAAGAAGUUGGUGCUGCUCUUAGGUCACUCCUAAAGCAGCAGAGCUUUGAGGAGAUGGGAUUCAAUGACAGUAAGUCUCAG